UGAUGAUGAUGAUGAUGAUGAUGAUGAUGCUCCUGAAGAACUACGGCACUUGGCCAAUCCCCCCUGGUGGGUAAGUGCCGUAGUUCUUCAGGAGCAUCAUCAUCAUCAACAAGCCGA
rnacentral:pre_miRNA from 1 species